GUGUGCACCGUCCAGGCCGCGAGCGCCCCUCCUCCGCGGCGUGGGCGGAGCGAGGGGGCGGAGCGGGGUGGAGCCACCGCUCUUUUCUCUCGAGUUCGCGCGCCCCGAGCCCUAGCCGUCCGCUGCAGUUCCAGCCGACUCUGCGCCGCUCACCACGAUGGAGGCCGCAACCGAGUUCGUGGUGGAGAGCCCCGACGUGGUCUACAGCCCCGAGGCUAUCGAGGCGAAGUACGAGUACAGGACGACGUGCGUCAGCCGCGAGGCUGGCGUCCUCAAAGUGCAUCCCACGUCCACGCGCUUCACUUUCCGGACCGCCCGGCAGGUGCCCCGGCUGGGGGUCAUGCUCGUCGGCUGGGGCGGGAACAACGGCUCCACGCUGACCGCUGCCGUGCUGGCCAACCGACUGCGCCUGUCCUGGCCUACGCGCACCGGCCGCAAGGAGGCCAACUACUACGGCUCGCUGACACAGGCUGGCACCGUUAGCCUAGGCCUGGACGCCGAGGGCCAGGAGGUGUUCGUGCCCUUCAGCGCGCUGCUGCCCAUGGUGGCACCCGACGAUCUCGUUUUCGACGGCUGGGACAUAUCGUCGCUGAACCUGGCGGAGGCGAUGAGGCGCGCGCAGGUACUAGAUUGGGAGCUGCAGGAGCAACUGUGGCCGCACAUGGAGGCCUUGCGCCCGCGGCCGUCGGUCUACAUCCCGGAGUUCAUCGCAGCUAACCAGAGUGCGCGCGCUGACAACCUCAUCCCGGGCACGCGCGCGCAGCAGCUGGAGCAGAUCCGCAGGGACAUCCGUGACUUCCGGUCCAACGCUGGCCUGGACAAAGUCAUUGUGCUGUGGACAGCGAACACAGAGCGCUUCUGCGAAGUGGUGCCUGGCCUCAAUGACACUGCUGACAACCUGCUGCGCACCAUCCAGGUAGGCACGCCCAGGGGUGGAAUGGGGUCAGGGCUAGCUCCCAAGGACCCUUCUGUGCUGACUGCCUGUCUGUGCCCACAGCUGGGCCUGGAAGUGUCGCCCUCCACGCUCUUCGCCGUCGCCAGCAUCUUGGAGGGGUGCGCCUUCCUCAACGGGUCCCCACAGAACACACUAGUGCCUGGUGCCCUCGAGCUCGCGUGGCAGCGCCGCGUCUUUGUGGGUGGAGACGACUUCAAGUCCGGCCAGACCAAGGUCAAGUCUGUGCUUGUGGACUUCCUUAUCGGUUCUGGCUUAAAGACCAUGUCCAUCGUGAGCUACAACCACCUGGGCAACAACGACGGGCAGAACCUGUCAGCGCCGCCACAGUUCCGCUCCAAAGAAGUGUCCAAGAGCAGUGUGGUGGAUGACAUGGUGCACAGCAACCCAGUGCUCUACAAGCAGGGCGAGGAGCCAGACCACUGCGUGGUCAUCAAGUACGUGCCAUACGUGGGCGACAGCAAGCGUGCCCUGGAUGAGUACACAUCGGAGCUGAUGCUGGGCGGUACCAACACGCUGGUGCUGCACAACACGUGCGAGGACUCGCUCCUGGCCGCGCCCAUCAUGCUGGACCUGGCGCUGCUGACCGAACUCUGCCAGCGUGUGAGCUUUUGCACGGACGCCGACCCGGAGCCGCAGACCUUCCACCCGGUGCUGUCGCUGCUCAGCUUCCUCUUCAAGGCGCCGCUUGCACCGCCCGGCAGCCCCGUGGUCAACGCGCUCUUCCGCCAGCGCAGCUGCAUCGAGAACAUCCUCAGGGCCUGCCUGGGGCUCCCGCCGCAGAACCACAUGCUUCUGGAGCACAAGAUGGAGCGCCCUGGCCUCAAGCGUGUUGGGCUUGUGACUGCUGCUUGCUCCCUGCCUUGCAAGAAAGGACCAGCGCCCACCACCAAUGGCUGUACUGGCGACGCCAAUGGGCACCCGCAAGCUGAGGCACCCCAGAUGCCCACCAGCUAAGGCCAUGGCCACGCGGUUCUUCCUUAACUCCUGCCCCUGUUGCUCCUCGGGACCCAACCCUUUCUAGGCCCCUCAAAGACAAUAAAACCAGUGCCUCUAUAUCAGCCA